rnacentral:rRNA from 1 species
AUUGAACGCUGGCGGCAUGCUUUACACAUGCAAGUCGAACGGUAACAGGCCGCAAGGUGCUGACGAGUGGCGAACGGGUGAGUAAUGCAUCGGAACGUGCCCGGUCGUGGGGGAUAACUACUCGAAAGAGUAGCUAAUACCGCAUACGAUCUAUGGAUGAAAGCGGGGGACCGUAAGGCCUCGCGCGAUUGGAGCGGCCGAUGUCAGAUUAGGUAGUUGGUGGGGUAAAGGCUCACCAAGCCAACGAUCUGUAGCUGGUCUGAGAGGACGACCAGCCACACUGGGAGUGAGACACGGCCCAGACUCCUACGGGAGGCAGCAGUGGGGAAUGUUGGACAAUGGGCGCAAGCCUGAUCCAGCAAUGCCGCGUGCAGGAAGAAGGCCUUCGGGUUGUAAACUGCUUUUGUACGGAACGAAACGGCUCUGGUUAAUACCCGGGGCUAAUGACGGUACCGUAAGAAUAAGCACCGGCUAACUACGUG